rnacentral:rRNA from 1 species
GACGAACCGUGCGAACGUUGUUCGGAAUCACUGGGCUUAAAGGGCGCGUAGGCGGCUUAUCAAGUCCGGGGUGAAAUCUUUCGGCUUAACCGGAAAAGUGCCUUGGAUACUGAUGAGCUUGAGUGAGAUAGGGGCAGCUGGAACUUCCAGUGGAGCGGUGAAAUGCGUUGAUAUUGGAAGGAACUCCGGUGGCGAAAGCGAGCUGCUGGAUCUCUUCUGACGCUGAUGCGCGAAAGCUAGGGGAGCGAACGGG